UGUCCGGGCCCUUUCUCCGAGUGUCCCUCAGAGCCGGCUCCUCCCUCUCUGCCGCCAGCUUCCCCGAGCCCCCUCUCUUCCAGACCCCUCCCUUUGUCAAUCCUGCCCAGUGUAUCCCGUCCGGAGCUCCCUUUGUACGUCUGCAGAUGGACUCCCCCGUUGGACGGGGAGCCCUCGGGGGGCUCGGACUUCUCUGGCGCUGAGCGGAGCUGAGCACACAGUAGGUGCUUGCUGAAGGUCUGCCGACGGACGGAUUGAGACCGGUUUCUCCAAAGCCGAGAGGCGAGACUGCGAGCAGGUGACCGGCCCCCGGAGUCCGGCCGGGCCCCCUCACCGCCGGGGGAGUGGGCGCCGCGGUUAGCGGCCGUCUCCCAAAGGCUGCGGGGAGCUCUCCCUCCCACGUUUUACUCCCAGACCCCCUCGUUUCUCUCCACUUCACAGCCCGGCCCCGCCCCCGCUUCCUCGCAGCCCUCCGGCACCAAGCUGGGCCAAGUUUGCAUUGUACAGACUAUGGACAUCUCUGGAAGAGGGUGAGAAGAAAGAGCAUUCUGCCUUAUGGGCUUCCAUCUUUAUACCCAGCCACAUAUUGGAGACUCAUUGUGAAUUCCAGGGCAAAGAGCCAUUGGGAGCCUGGAGAUGUGAGAAAAUCACUGGAAAUUGAUGGGAACGGUCAAUGGAGGACUUACAGCCAGAAGCGAUGUCGGUCCCACAGAUCAGCCUCUCCCCGCUGUGCCGGA